UACGGAGGGUGCAAGCGUUAUCCGGAUUCACUGGGUUUAAAGGGUGCGUAGGUGGGUUGGUAAGUCAGUGGUGAAAUCUUCAGGCUUAACCUGGAAACUGCCAUUGAUACUAUUUAUCUUGAAUACUUUGGAGGUAAGCGGAAUAUGUCAUGUAGCGGUGAAAUGCUUAGAUAUGACAUAGAACACCAAUUGCGAAGGCAGCUUACUACACAGUAAUUGACACUGAGGCACGAAAGCGUGGGGAUCAAACAGG
rnacentral:rRNA from 1 species